GGUGGACGGUGUGCGUGGUGUCCAUCUGCGUCUAGUGCGGUCUCCAUUCUGUGUCUUACAGGCUGUGAGACUGCUCUCAUGCCACAUUCACAGCCACAGAGCCAAUGGAGAUCAUAGUACUGGCCCAGUGACGUCUGAACGACUAUCCACCACUGGCCAGCCUCCAUAGUCUCCUACAAAA